CUGAUAUUUAGGCUGGGUCAUAAGAGGAUAUCUUAGAAUCUGAGGGAAUCACUGCUCCUGGAAAAAAAGGUGUAAAGAGAUGAGACUAUGCUUCAAAGAUGGAGAGCUGGAUAAGCACAGGGUCAGGGCUGGCUAGAAACUAUUUGGAUAAUUUUGCACCAAUGUAAAUGUAUCAGUGAAAUUUGGAAAACGGAAGCAAGAUGUGAGAGGGUGUAAAAUGUAAAAUGUAAAAUUUGCAAAAACGCAAACUACUGACUCUAUAUUGCUUCAGAAUACAGCCCCAAUUCCACCACACUCCAGAGCAGAGCUUCCCCAGUGGAUUAUAAAUGCCCAAUGAGAUAUUUAUGGUCUCAGUUCUCAGAGUGGAGAGAGCUUGCUGGAUAAAAUGUCUGUGUAUAAGGAACAAUUGAACAUUGAGAACACAGAACCUCUGAAUAGAACCUCAGAACUCAAGCUGCUCUGGGGAUUGGGACUAUCUUCCCUGAAGAGAUAACUUUCAGUUGGCAUUUGGAUGAAGGCAGAGGAAGGAAAGUGAUGAGGGGCUAUUUCUUGGCUCCGAAAACUGUGAUUGUGAUAAGAAGUAUUGUGUUACAAAGAGUCUUCUAUGGACACGACAGAUUUUAUGGGCUAGAGGAGAUUCCAGAAUCAUCUCUGUAAAAAUAUUGCAUGAAGAGUAACAGAUUAUGAAGCCAACUUUACCAUACUGUCUUCCUAUAUUCCUCCUUUACAGCGAGCUUCGGACUGAAUAUGCAGUGGGCAAUACAAUGCAAGUUCAGCAAAACGGAGUGAGGAAACUUGCACAACACAUCAAUUUCAUUGGUUCGGUGAUGGAUGCUGCAUGACCCCACCCAUCCACCCUACUGCAGAAGCUGAUAUUGCCAGAGAAGACCAAGGAGAGUGCCUUCUUGCUGUCUUCCUGUGUGAUUUCAACUCUGGACAAGUCUGCCCGAGACCAGGCUUCGUACACAUGUAGGUACUCUGUCAUUUUUCACACCCAAGCAAUCACUGAACCACCGGGUCAUUUUUCAACUGUGAAAUGCAAUUUAAUAAAGUUGCAG
rnacentral:lncRNA from 1 species